rnacentral:rRNA from 1 species
AUUGAACGCUGGCGGCAGGCCUAACACAUGCAAGUCGAACGAGUGGCGGCCGGGUGAGUAAUGUAUGGGCAACUGCCCGAUAGAGGGGGAUAACUACUGGAACCGUUAGCUAAUACCGCAUACCAUCAGAUGUGCCCAUAUGGGCUUAGCUAGUAGGUGGGGUAAUGGCUCACCUAGGCGACGAUCCCUAGCUGGUGUGAGAGGAUGACAAGCCACACUGGAACUGGGACACGGUCCAGACGCCUACGGGAGGCAGAAGUGGGGAAUAGUGGGCAAGGGGCGCAAGCCUGAUGCAGCAAAGCCGCGUGUGUGAAGAAGGCCGUCGGGUUUUAAAGCACUUUCAGCGAGGAGGCGUUACUCGCAGAAGAAGCAACGGCUAACUCCGUGCCAGCAGCCGCGGUAAUAC